UUAAAACGAUUUAACUAAAUUUAAUAUAAUGUGCAACAAAUAUUACACAAGCCGCGAAUUUCGCUACAUAGCUUCCUUUCCCCCCAAAUUUUAAAUUUUAAAAUUAUUAAUCCGCUAUGGGAUCGCUAUAUAAAUUUUUGUAGGAAUUCGCGGCUUUUAAAUGGUGGCGCGAAAAUCAUUUUUUAAUAAACAAAUAGGUCGGUCCGUCGCAAGGCGUGUACUGGACGUCCUGGCCUUCCCUCCGGUUCUCCGCCGGUGCUCUUGACUGAGUGUCGGCGGCGGCCGGAACGUUUACUUUGAAAAAAUUAGAGUGUUCAAAGCAGGCUCUCGAGCCUGGAUAAUGGUGCAUGGAAUAAUGGAAUAGGACCUCGGUUCUAUUUUGUUGGUUU
rnacentral:ncRNA from 1 species